rnacentral:rRNA from 1 species
GUCUGUAUGAAAACAAUAUAAAGUCUGACCUGCCCACUGAGUAUUUAAAGGGCCGCGGUAAUUUGACCGUGCGAAGGUAGCAUAAUCAAUAGUCUUUUAAUUGAAGGCUGGAAUGAACGGUUGGACAAGAAGUAGUCUGUCUUUUUUAUAAAGAUUGAAUUUAACUUUUAAGUGAAAAGGCUUAAAUUUUCUAAUGGGACGAUAAGACCCUAUAAAACUUUAUAAGGUUUAAAAUAAUUUUUGAAGUUGGGUUUAACAAAAGUUAUUUUUACUUUAUUGCGUUGGGGCGACGAAAAUAUAAUUGUAACUGUUUUUAAGUUAAAAUAAAAGUCUUUAGUUGGGUUGAUCCUUUAUUAUGGAUUAAAAGAAUAAGUUACUUUAGGGAUAACAGCGUAAUUUUUUCUGAGAGUUCUUAUCGACGAAAGUAGUUGCGACCUCGAUGUUGAAUUAAAGUUUCUCCAAGGUGUAGGAGCUUUGGUUAGUGGGUCUGUUCGACCCUUAAAACUUUACAUGAUUUGAGUUCAAACCGGUGUGAG